GGGCAAUUAGCUCAGCUGGUUUAGAGCGCGACAUUGACAUUGUCGAGGCCGAGGGUUCAAGUCCCCCAUUGCCCA
rnacentral:tRNA from 1 species